rnacentral:lncRNA from 1 species
ACAGUGGCAAGGAGGCUUUCACACCCUUGCCAGGGCCCAGAGAAAUAAUGGGGAGCUCCAGGAGGCGCUGCGCUCCUUCCAUACAUGCCUGGUGAGGUCAGACCUCAUCAUGCCAUAGGAUGUUCCUGUGCCUGUCCUACACCCAAAAAAAUUUGUGCCCGCUGCACGCUUCAAGGUAUACGGGACAAGUACAGGAUGUGGGACGAGACAACACAAGUUUAGAGGAGAGGCGAGCGAUAAAAGAGGAGCGCCUUGAAACGGAGAGCCUCCUGCAGAGGGAAUGGACGAAUCGCAUUGCACUGCCCCAAUUGUGUAUACGCCAAAACAUUGGUGGGGCUUUUGCCUUCGUGUCACCCUGCCACAAUGCUUUGCAAACCGCUUCCGGCAUACUUUCCAAAGCCUGCCUAUAUGUCUUUGCGGGACAGCAUGCAGAGAAUGUUGGGGCAUUUCUAUAACGUUGUACUUAUCUUCUGCAAUGUCAGGCGAUGCAUCAGGCCCAGGAUGCGUUGUAUGGGAGUCAGGGAUUGCGCUUGCAGAGUAUAUGUCCUGUCACCUUGGGACAGGUGAGGCUCUUUUGCAGAACUUUUGUCUUGGAUCCCUGGCCUGGGAUCUGCAGGAUGGCUUCCAUUGUUCCUGUGUGCAAAUUUGGGCUUCAUGCGAUCAAAGCAACAGCGCUGAUGCAUCCUUUUGCAACCUGUUUGCCUUCAUGUGGGCUUUGGUGGGCUACUGUAGGUUCUCAAUGUUCUGCCUGAUGGUGCAGAGAAGUUGCGAGGCAGGCAGGUCUUGGAGUUGGGCUCUGGCACUGGCAUUGCCGGCAUUGCUGCGGCCCUUCUGGGUGCAUUUGUGGUGCUGACUGACCGACCGGGCACCCUGCCACUGCUGCAGAGCAAUGUAGAUCAGCAUGCAGCAGCCAUAUUAGAAGCA